rnacentral:antisense_RNA from 1 species
UGCCUGGCCAUGGAGCACUCUAGCGGAGGAGAGCAAAGUCCUCCCCAAAUCAAGGCCACAAUAACUAGCACGGUGUUCUGCACAUCGUAUGCACUCAGUACUUGUGAAAUUGAGCUGAAUCAGAAACAAAACGAGGAGCAGAGGUCAAGUCCUGCAAAAGAUAAACCCUGCCAUCUCCAUGACAACAAGCCCAGGUUAGCCUGCUAGAGGAUGAAACACUUUGGGGAAGAGAACCAAAGUUGCCCAGUCCACAGUCAACUCACUCUCAACAGCAGAGCUGCCUGGUCACCAGCAGCUGACCCCCUUCUCCCAUACACACACAUGAAGAUUGCUAUACCUUAUAAAGGUACGGCAGGUUUUAUAGGUAUAGCAAUUAAUUUAUGGCAGGAGCCUGCCAUAAAUUGCUGACUUGCUCAAUCAUGAGCUAAAUAAGUUUUGGGAUGGCUCAUUACACAGUAACAGCUAACUAACACACCCAGAGCUGACAGGAUGCCAGGAUUAACAACAUGCUGACUACAAGUUAGCUGGCACACUAUAGGGACUGUCUAGGUACUGAAUUCCUUUUCCCCUUAUUAGAAGUUGGGUCCCUUGAAUUAUAAAGAAAUGCAUGUAGACGUGUAUGUGCUUAAAACUCACACAGUAUCGCACAACACAGGAGGAAAUAGAUGACAGCCUGACCACUAGGGCAAAGGCCAAAUAGCAAGGUAAGGCAUUUGUCUGGAAUCUAUUCCCUCCAAAUCUAAAUUCUGGAGGUCAAGGCUGUGGACAGGUCCCACCUCCUGGGACCCCACUGUCCUCUGAUCUCUGGAGGGGAGAAUGGUCCCAUCAAGCAGCAGAUGGGCAGCAGUGGCCUACCUGUGGCCACCUCCUGCUGGCAGCCCCUGCUGUCUCAGGGCACUCUCUCUUCCUUUGGGACUGAGAAGAGAUGUGGGUAGGGAGGGGGAGCUCCCUCGCUCCUGGCAGA